CCCUUAGAUAUGCUGAGCCGCACGCGGGCUACAAUGAUGCGUUCAACAAGUUUACCUGGCUCGGAAGAGUUCGGGAAAUCUUUGAGUACGCGUCGUGCUAGGGAUCGAUCUUUGCAAUUAUAGAUCUUGAACGAGGAAUAUGUAGUAAGUGCAAGUCAUCAACUUGUACUGAUUACGUCCCUGCCAUUUGUACACACCGCCCGUCGCUUGUAGUGAUUGUGUGAUCCGGCGAACCUUUUGGAUUGGACGCAAGUCUGAGAAGCUAAGUAAGCCUAAUCACAUAGAACAACAAGAANUCGUAACA
rnacentral:rRNA from 1 species